UCCGUAGGUGAACCUGCGGAAGGAUCAUUNAUAAUCAAGUGUUUUUAUGGCACUUUCAAAAAUCCAUAUCCACCUUGUGUGCAAUGUCAUCUCACUGGAGAUCAACGGCUGUAAAAAUCCGUUGGUCACCUUUGGGAUUUAUAUCUACUCAGAACUUUAGUGAUUUUGUCUGAAACAUAUUAUGAAUACUUAAUUCAAAAUACAACUUUCAACAACGGAUCUCUUGGCUCUCGCAUCGAUGAAGAACGCAGCGAAAUGCGAUACGUAAUGUGAAUUGCAGAAUUCAGUGAAUCAUCGAAUCUUUGAACGCAUAUUGCGCUCUCUGGUAUUCCGGAGAGCAUGCUUGUUUGAGUAUCAGUAAACACCUCAACUCCCCUUUCUUUUUUGAAAUGGGAGCUGGACUUGAGUGAUCCCAACGCUUUUCUCACCGAAAAGUGGCGGGUUACUUGAAAUGCAGGUGCAGCUGGACUUUUCUCUGAGCUAAAAGCAUAUCUAUUUAGUCUGCCUAAAAAACAGAUUAUUACCUUUGCUGCAGCUAACAUAAAGGAGAUUGGUUCUUGUGCUGACUGAUGCAGGAUUCACAGAGGCAGCUUCGGCUGGCUUUGUAAACUCGAUCUCAAAUCAAGUAAGACUACCCGCUGAACUUAAGCAUAUCAAUAAGCGGAGGAAAAGAAACUAACAAGGAUUCCCCUAGUAACGGCGAGUGAAGCGGGAUGAGCUCAAAUUUAAAAUCUGGCUGGUUUACUAGUCCGAAUUGUAGUUUAAAGAAGCGUUUUCGGUGGCAGCCUGGGUAUAAAUCCUUUGGAACAGGGUAUCAUAGAGGGUGAGAAUCCCGUCUUUGACUCAGUGCAUGCUACUAUGUGAUACGUUUUCAAUGAGUCGAGUUGUUUGGGAAUGCAGCUCAAAAUGGGUGGUAAAUUUCAUCUAAAGCUAAAUAUUGGCGAGAGACCGAUAGCGAACAAGUACCGUGAGGGAAAGAUGAAAAGAACUUUGAAAAGAGAGUUAAACAGUGCGUGAAAUUGUUGAAAGGGAAACGCUUGAAGU
rnacentral:sRNA from 1 species